UACGAAGGGGGCUAGCGUUGUUCGGAAUUACUGGGCGUAAAGCGUGCGCAGGCGGCUUCUCAAGUCAGGGGUGAAAGCCCAGAGCUCAACUCUGGAAUUGCCUUUGAGACUGAGUGGCUUGAGUACGAGAGAGGUGAGUGGAAUUCCCAGUGUAGAGGUGAAAUUCGUAGAUAUUCGCAAGAACACCAGUGGCGAAGGCGGCUCACUGGCCCGGUACUGACGCUGAGGUGGCGAAAGCGUGGGGAGCAAACAGGG
rnacentral:rRNA from 1 species